CCUACGGGAGGCAGCAGUGAGGAAUAUUGGUCAAUGGGCGCGAGCCUGAACCAGCCAAGUAGCGUGAAGGAUGACUGCCCUACGGGUUGUAAACUUCUUUUAUAAAGGAAUAAAGUGAGGCACGUGUGCCUUUUUGUAUGUACUUUAUGAAUAAGGAUCGGCUAACUCCGUGCCAGCAGCCGCGGUAAUACGGAGGAUCCGAGCGUUAUCCGGAUUUAUUGGGUUUAAAGGGAGCGUAGAUGGGUUGUUAAGUCAGUUGUGAAAGUUUGCGGCUCAACCGUAAGAUUGCAGUUGAUACUGGCAGGCUGGAGUACAGUUGAGGUAGGCGGAAUUCGCGGUGUAGCGGUGAAAUGCUUAGAUAUCACGAAGAACCCCGAUUGCGAAGGCAGCUUACUAAACUGCCACUGACAUUGAUGCUCGAAAGUGUGGGUAUCAAACAGGAUUAGAUACCCUGGUAGUC
rnacentral:rRNA from 1 species